UACGUAGGCAGCGAGCGUUGUUCGGAAUUACUGGGCGUAAAGAGUGUGUAGGCGGUGCUCUAAGUUCGGUGUGAAAUCUCCUGGUUUAACUGGGAGGGUGCGCCGGAAACUGGGGUGCUCGAGCGUGGGAGAGGAAAGCGGAAUUCCUGGUGUAGCGGUGAAAUGCGUAGAUAUCAGGAGGAACACCUGUGGUGUAGACAGCUUACUGGACCACUUCUGACGCUGAGACACGAAAGCGUGGGUAGCAAACAGG
rnacentral:rRNA from 1 species